GACGAACGCUGGCGGCGUGCCUAAUACAUGCAAGUCGAACGCUUCUUUCCUCCCGAGUGCUUGCACUCAUUUGGAAAGAGGAGUGGCGGACGGGUGAGUAACACGUGGGUAACCUACCCAUCAGAGGGGGAUAACACUUGGAAACAGGUGCUAAUACCGCAUAACAGUUUAUGCCGCAUGGCAUAAGAGUGAAAGGCGCUUUCGGGUGUCACUGAUGGAUGGACCCGCGGUGCAUUAGCUAGUUGGUGAGGUAACGGCUCACCAAGGCCACGAUGCAUAGCCGACCUGAGAGGGUGAUCGGCCACACUGGGACUGAGACACGGCCCAGACUCCUACGGGAGGCAGCAGUAGGGAAUCUUCGGCAAUGGACGAAAGUCUGAUCGAGCAACGCCGCGUGAGUGAAGAAGGUUUUCGGAUCGUAAAACUCUGUUGUUAGAGAAGA
rnacentral:rRNA from 1 species